UUCUGUAUCCUCCAGGUCUUUGUGAAUGGUGUGUCGGGGGGAACAGACUCUCCCUCACCAAUCGUCACAUCCUCCACAAAGGACAUGGAUGGUGUGUUGAUGCUGGGACCCUCAACAUCAUAAUAGGCACCGAUGGCUGCCUGUAGAUUCCUAUUUUAAUGGCAAAAGGCAUUUAGAAGAGUGGCGGAUGCCUUCCAAUCGGGGGAAGAUCCCGCCGAGUCCGUUCACUGGUUCCCUAGUUCAUCAUGUUUUUAUCGGCUUGUCAAAAAAAUAUCUUCAAAAAGUGGCCCUCCACACCCAGGCAUGCUACCAGUGCCCGGGCCCCAUAUGAAUGGUCAUGGUCCUCCUAUGAUGCAAAUGAGGGGCCCCUCACCACAUGGAAUGAUGCCUGGAGGCCAGGUAUGCGAACACCAAUGGGCCACAUGCAGAUGAAGCCUGGCCCACAUUAGAUGUGCCCCCAUCGGCCAAUGAUGCUAAUCAGACCGGGUAUGAUCCAGCCAGACAGAUGAGACCCAAAAUCAAGUGGUUCUGCACUGCAAUACAUGCUCUUUGGAGGUCACUGCUGCCCAAAAUGCAUUGUUUGGGUUUUUGAAAUGGCCACCUAUUGUCUCGACUCUAAACCCUUUUGGUUCGAGUGAACACUGUGUUUCAGCGAGCUCCCGUGGCAUUAGUUAAUUUUUCUCUUUAUAUUAAUUUCUUAGCUAGAAAAGGUAGUACAAUUUGCAAAACAAGUUACUCUACAAUGAGUCUUGAUGGAUGUGUCAAAAGUUUCUGACAACAUGCCCGGCAGAACUACUAAGAACUCGACCAAAACCACUACCCCUGUAGGGCUCCCGAGUGGUGCAGCGGCCUAAGGCACUGCAUCUCACUUGGACUAUAUUAAUUGGUGCAAUGACAGAUAACAGACUGUGUUUAUGUAAGUGGAACAUUAGAGGGAGCCAUAAUCCCAUAUUUUUUUUUUUAAGUACUCUCUUUAACAAAAAAAAAAAAAAAAAAAAAUAUAUAUAUAUAUAAGCACAGAUUUUGUACCAAAAUUGGUGGAUGUUGGCUUUAACCUUUGGAUUAAUAAGGGCAUAUGUCAUUUGAGCAGAUGGUUGAGAAAUAUCGGCUCCCAAAGCAGGACUUUUCCCGCUUUCUACAAGUCAGACACGUUUUCAACCAACUUGGUUGACAACCCUGAUGUAUGUCAUUGACAGAAUGCUUGUUUUCUUCACAACGCAACAUGUCUGUAAGUUUAUUUUAUGACACUUUAAGGUCCUUUUCUACUGUAGACACACAGGGGGUCAAGCGAGUGUGGGAGAAUGAACUGUCUGUUACUAUUGUUGAGGAGAUGUGGGAGGACAUUUGGAGAUAUGCAAAAACAAUGUCUAUCUGUAAUCGCAUUAGAGCAAUCCAAUUAUGAAUAUUACACACAUUGCAUAUAUCUCCAAAUCGCAGACAUACUUCUAACCCUUUCUCCUCUCCUCAGUAUCUUAAAUGUAAAACUGAUACAUGCACCCUUACACAUUUCCUAUGGCCGUGUUCCAAAUUACAAAGGCACUGGUCUAAAGGUACUUCAAGAAAUUCCAUGGGUCGACCUAGAAUGAAACUCAAUUUCUUUGCUGUUAGUUCUCCCUAGUAAGCAUGUUACUUCUGCGCGUCACAGAAGGCUGUAUGACAUUCCUACCUCCGCAGCGAGGAAAAACAUCCUCUUGCAGUGGAUUAGUGACAUCUAUUCAAGGUUGGCACAUGCAAACACCUCUUAUCCCUUGGGUUUUGUUAUUCCAAUGUAAAAUGGGCUUUUUUUUAGACCCACAGACUUGUAUUUUUUUCAAUAAAUAACAUUAGUAGACUUGAACAUUUAUGUUGGUCUUCAAUCAUUUUGUUUGAAUAAUAGAUGGAUGACAGAGGCU